CGUCAAGCCCAUUGACUUAAGUUGUAUGACAACUUAAUGAAUAAUGAUUCACAAAGGCCCAAUUAGCCCAAAAAUACCCUAAGGCCGGCCAUUUAGAGAUGGAGUGAGUUUUGGACUUAUUUACAAGUUUGCCACUCCAAUGAAUUAAGGUAUAAAUAUGACUUUAUAGCCAAAAUUCAUUUAGGGUUUUCUUUUUGGGGAAAGGAUGAGAACAUAAGCUCUCCUUUUUCUCUCUAAAGUGGCUGGCCUCCUUGGAGGGUUUAGCUAGCAAUCCUACUACUCCAAGGUCACUCAUUUCUUCUCCAAUCUAACCUU
rnacentral:lncRNA from 1 species